GAUGAACGCUGGCGGCAUGCCUAAUACAUGCAAGUCGAACGAGAGGAAGGAAAGCUUGCUUUUCUGAAUCUAGUGGCGAACGGGUGAGUAACACGUAGGUAACCUGCCCAUGUGCCCGGGAUAACUUCUGGAAACGGAUGCUAAAACCGGAUAGGUAGCAGACAAGCAUUUGACUGCUAUUAACGUGGCUAAGGCCAUGAACAUGGAUGGACCUGCGGUGCAUUAGCUAGUUGGGGAGGUAACGGCCCACCAAGGCGACGAUGCAUAGCCGGCCUGAGAGGGCGGACGGCCACAUUGGGACUGAGACACGGCCCAAACUCCUACGGGAGGCAGCAGUAGGGAAUUUUCGUCAAUGGGGGGAACCCUGAACGAGCAAUGCCGCGUGAGUGAGGAAGGUCUUCGGAUCGUAAAGCUCUGUUGUAAGAGAAAAACGACAUUCAUGGGGAAUGAUGAGUGAGUGAUGGUAUCUUACCAGAAAGUCACGGCUAACUACGUGCCAGCAGCCGCCGUAACAC
rnacentral:rRNA from 1 species